rnacentral:rRNA from 1 species
UACGGGGGGAGCAAGCGUUGUUCGGAUUUACUGGGCGUAAAGGGCGCGUAGGCGGUCAGCACAAGUCAGUUGUGAAAUCUCCGAGCUUAACUCGGAAAGGUCAACUGAUACUGUGCGACUAGAGUGCAGAAGGGGCAACUGGAAUUCUCGGUGUAGCGGUGAAAUGCGUAGAUAUCGAGAGGAACACCGAUUGCGAAGGCAGCUCGCUGGGACGUUACUGACGCUGAGACGCGAAAGCGUGGGGAGCAAACAGG